CCAGACUCCUACGGGAGGCAGCAGUGGGGGAUAUUGCACAAUGGGGGAAACCCUGAUGCAGCGACGCCGCGUGAGUGAAGAAGUAUUUCGGUAUGUAAAGCUCUAUCAGCAGGGAAGAAGAUGACAGUACCUGAGUAAGAAGCCCCGGCUAACUACGUGCCAGCAGCCGCGGUAAUACGUAGGUGGCAAGCGUUGUCCGGAUUUACUGGGUGUAAAGGGCGUGCAGCCGGGCUGACAAGUCAGAUGUGAAAUCCCGCGGCUCAACCGCGGAACUGCAGUUGAAACUGUCAGUCUUGAGUAGCGGAGAGGUCAUCGGAAUUCCUUGUGUAGCGGUGAAAUGCGUAGAUAUAAGGAAGAACACCAGUGGCGAAGGCGGAGGACUGGACGGCAACUGACGGUGAGGCGCGAAAGCGUGGGGAGCAAACAGGAUUAGAUACCCUAGUAAAA
rnacentral:rRNA from 1 species